UGGGGCCCAACUGUCUUCCUCGAUAGCGGGCAUUUUGACGGUGACCGCCUUUGCCGCCAGCGGUCCGACCAAGCUUCGACUGACGGCAGCCGCCUCGCUCGAGCGAUGAAGAUCGCAAAUUCUGCCAUCACGUUCGUUUUCAACCAGCAUCAGGCGCGCCUGCGGUAGCACUUCCAUGAAUGCGUUCGCCGAUCGAACGCCAC
rnacentral:misc_RNA from 1 species